rnacentral:rRNA from 1 species
GACGAACGCUGGCGGCAUGCCUAACACAUGCAAGUCGAACGAGACCUUCGGGUCUAGUGGCGCACGGGUGCGUAACGCGUGGGAAUCUGCCCUUUGCUUCGGAAUAACAGUUAGAAAUGACUGCUAAUACCGGAUGAUGUCUUCGGACCAAAGAUUUAUCGGCAAAGGAUGAGCCCGCGUAGGAUUAGGUAGUUGGUGGGGUAAAGGCCUACCAAGCCGACGAUCCUUAGCUGGUCUGAGAGGAUGAUCAGCCACACUGGGACUGAGACACGGCCCAGACUCCUACGGGAGGCAGCAGUGGGGAAUAUUGGACAAUGGGCGAAAGCCUGAUCCAGCAAUGCCGCGUGAGUGAUGAAGGCCUCGGUCGUAAGACUCUUUUACCUAGGGAUGAUAAUGACGGUACCCGGACGAAGAAGCCCCGGCUAACUCCGUGCCAGCAGCCGCGGU